AAUGAGUCAAUUCAUAUGUAAGAAUCUUUUUGUAAUUGAUUAUUAUAAUAAGAUUAAUAUUUUUCAGUCACCAUAGAAACUCGUACCAAAUUAAUGAACUAUGAUUUAUGAAUAAGAAAACAGUAAAAUCUGAAAGACGCCUGGAGAAUGUUGAUAUGUAGUAAAUGACCUUCCCCUGACAUGGAAGGGUCUGGAAUGUAUCACCUAGGAUUUGCAUGGGCUGAAUGGCCAUUCAUCCAGCACAACCCACUCUAUAUCAACCAUGUU
rnacentral:misc_RNA from 1 species